AAGUCGUAACAAGGUUUCCGUAGGUGAACCUGCGGAAGGAUCAUUAACACAUUACUCCGAUGUAUCAACCAACCCGUGGACAUGUUUCGAGGCCGGACAGCGGUGGUCGUGUCGCCUGCACCAGGGCCGAGACUUGCGUUGCUGCAACGCGUCGGUGCAGGGGGCACAGAGCGGGAGCUCGCCAUUUUCUGUUCGGUUCUAUUGUACCCCUUAAUCACGAAAGCCAAUCAGGUUGCACUUUCGCCUGGUCCUUGGUUGGCGGGGACGCUCAUAUUAACCUUAUUCACCCUUGAUUUGCCUUUGUGCUGAUUAGCGCUCCAUAUCAUAACUGGUUGGAGUCGAGUAAUACUUUAACGUAGUACAACUCUUAGCAAUGGAUAUCUUGGUUCUC
rnacentral:misc_RNA from 1 species